GCAUGCCUAACACAUGCAAGUCCUUCGGCAGCACAGCAGAGCUUGCUCUGUGGGUGGCGAGUGGCGGACGGGUGAGUAAUGCAUCGGGAUCUACCUCAACGUGGGGGAUAACGUAGGGAAACUUACGCUAAUACCGCAUACGUCCUAAGGGAGAAAGCGGGGGACCGUAAGGCCUCGCGCGGUGAGACGAACCGAUGUUCGAUUAGCUAGUUGGUAAGGUAAUGGCUUACCAAGGCGACGAUCGAUAGCUGGUCUGAGAGGAUGAUCAGCCACACUGGAACUGAGACACGGUCCAGACUCCUACGGGAGGCAGCAGUGGGGAAUAUUGGACAAUGGGCGCAAGCCUGAUCCAGCAAUGCCGCGUGUGUGAAGAAGGCCUUCGGGUUGUAAAGCACUUUUAUCAGGAACGAAAUACCACGGGUUAAUAACCUAUGGGGCUGACGGUACCUGAGGAAUAAGCACCGGCUAACUCCGUGCCAGCAGCCGCGGUAAUACGAAGGGUGCAAGCGUUAAUCGGAAUUACUGGGCGUAAAGGGUGCGUAGGCGGUUAGUUAAGUCUGUCGUGAAAUCCCCGGGCUCAACCUGGGAAUGGCGAUGGAUACUGGCUGGCUAGAGUGUGUCAGAGGAUGGUGGAAUUUCCGGUGUAGCGGUGAAAUGCGUAGAGAUCGGAAGGAACAUCAGUGGCGAAGGCGGCCAUCUGGGACAACACUGACGCUGAAGCACGAAAGCGUGGGGAGCAAACGGGGAUUAGAUACCCUGGUAGUCCACGCCCUAAACGAUGCGAACUGGAUGUUGGGUCUCAACUCGGAGAUCAGUGUCGAAGCUAACGCGUUAAGUUCGCCCGCCCUGGGGGAGUACGGUCGCAAGAACUG
rnacentral:rRNA from 1 species